GCGGGGGAGCUUGCUCCCGCCGGCGAGUGGCGAACGGGUGAGUAAUGCAUCGGAACGUGCCCAAUAGUGGGGGAUAACACAUCGAAAGAUGUGCUAAUACCGCAUACGCACUGAGGUGGAAAGCGGGGGACCGAAAGGCCUCGCGCUAUUGGAGCGGCCGAUGGCUGAUUAGCUAGUUGGUGGGGUAAAGGCCUACCAAGGCUACGAUCAGUCGCUGGUCUGAGAGGACGACCAGCCACACUGGGACUGAGACACGGCCCAGACUCC
rnacentral:rRNA from 1 species